CCUACGGGGGGCAGCAGUGAGGAAUAUUGGUCAAUGGGCGCGAGCCUGAACCAGCCAAGUAGCGUGAAGGAUGACUGCCCUACGGGUUGUAAACUUCUUUUAUAAAGGAGUAAAGUGAGGCACGUGUGCCUUUUUGUAUGUAUUUUAUGAAUAAGGAUCGGCUAACUCCGUGCCAGCAGCCGCGGUAAUACGGAGGAUCCGAGAGUUAUCCGGAUUUAUUUGGUUUAAAGGGAGCGUAGAUGGGUUGUUAAGUCAGUUGUGAAAGUUUUCGGCUCAAACGUAAAAUUGCAAUUGAUACUGGCAGCCUUGAGUACAGUUGAGGUAGGCGGAAUUCGUGGUGUAGCGGUGAAAUGCUUAGAUAUCACGAAGAACUCCGAUUGCGAAGGCAGCCUACUAAACUGCCACUGACAUUGAUGCUCGAAAGUGUGGGUAUCAAACAGUAUUAGAUACCCGUGUAGUC
rnacentral:rRNA from 1 species